UACGAAGGGGGCUAGCGUUGCUCGGAAUCACUGGGCGUAAAGGGUGCGUAGGCGGGUCUUUAAGUCAGGGGUGAAAUCCUGGAGCUCAACUCCAGAACUGCCUUUGAUACUGAGGAUCUUGAGUACGGGAGAGGUGAGUGGAACUGCGAGUGUAGAGGUGAAAUUCGUAGAUAUUCGCAAGAACACCAGUGGCGAAGGCGGCUCACUGGCCCGUUACUGACGCUGAGGCACGAAAGCGCGGGGAGCAAACAGG
rnacentral:rRNA from 1 species